GACGAACGCUGGCGGCGUGCUUAACACAUGCAAGUCGAACGGUAAGGCCUUCGGGUACACGAGUGGCGAACGGGUGAGUAACACGUGGGUGAUCUGCCCUGCACUUCGGGAUAAGCCUGGGAAACUGGGUCUAAUACCGGAUAGGACUCUGGAGUUCAUGCUCUGGGGUGGAAAGCUUUUGCGGUGUGGGAUGGGCCCGCGGCCUAUCAGCUUGUUGGUGGGGUAAUGGCCUACCAAGGCGACGACGGGU
rnacentral:rRNA from 1 species